AGCCGCGCCGCCCGCCCGCCGCAGCGGGGCUAUAUAAGGGGGGAAUGGCCCGGCAGCCGCAGUCGGAGCAUCCCUGGUCGCGGUGGCGCCGGUCCUUGUCCCCACGGUCACCUGCGAGCCCCGGGACCUGCUCCUGCGCCGGGGACGCCCCCGGAGGUGGGGGGGGUGGGAGCGGGACCCGGACCCUGUCGGACCCCGGGGGGGGAUGUGGAUAUGGAGGAGGAGGAAGAUGAUGAUGCCGCCGCCGCUCCCCGCGCCCGGGGUUGCGGAGCCCCGGGGGGGUUUCGGCGCAGCGCGGGGAGCAGCUCGGAGGCGGCAGCCGGAGCGUCCGCGGUGAAGGCUCGGGGCACGGGGACCUGAGAGGAGACAGCCAGGGCGCUGCGGCACUGAUCAUGGCCAAAACACGCAGGAGCCCCCUUCCGAGGAUGGGCACUUCAGCUGCGAGCAUGGGAAAAGGGAUGUCGGGGACCAGCAGCUCGCCCCGAGCUCCCCGGGGAGCGAUGGAGCAUCGGGGGCUGCGGUGAGAUCCUUCCCCGCUCUGCGCUUGCUGGGCUCCACGGCCCCAGCCCGGAGAGGGGUUUUUCCUCCGGAGCUGACCUCGCUCCCGACGCCCACGCGGAGCCGAAAGGACUUAAUUAGCUGCUCUCUGCUGGGCUUUGGAAUUAUCCUCUUGGCCGGGAAGUGCUGGCGAUGGAUGGCGAAGUGCUCUUGGGUCAAACGGUAGCUCGAUGCUUUUCCCAGUGAAGGACCAAGUGCUUGCCCGGUUCCAAGGAACCAGUUUGUGGAUUUUUUUUCUGUUUUUACCCCUCUGCUCUUCUUUUUGAUGCCUUUCGGGCUUUUUGUGAGGACGGCUGGACCCAGCCCCGCAGCACGUGGUGUUGGCAUGGUGGGAGCUGGAGGCAUGAAAACCUUUGGAGGAGCCAUGGGGUGGAAGCUGAGCUGGCGAUCGUGAUGCCUUGGGGUUUAAAACUGUCCGGCAGAGUUUGUCUUGUGCCAGGAGUGUGGGGUGGCCUUGGGGGGGGACCUUUUGCCACGGAACAUCCCUCAUGGAUCCCAGCCCAGGUGGGGCUGGGAGCGGGCGCAGGAGCCAGGGGUGCCAAACCGCAAUGAGGGGGACGUCAAGACGGGGGGAAAAUGUCACCCUCAGAAACAAUUAAACUUCUUAAUAAAACCCGU